rnacentral:rRNA from 1 species
AUUGAACGCUGGCGGCAGGCCUAACACAUGCAAGUCGAACGAGUGGCGAACGGGUGAGUAAUGUCUGGGAAACUGCCUGAUGGAGGGGGAUAACUACUGGAAACGGUAGCUAAUACCGCAUACCAUCAGAUGUGCCCCGAGGGGAUUAGCUAGUUGGUGGGGUAACGGCUCACCAAGUCGACGAUCCCUAGCUGGUCUGAGAGGAUGACCAGCCAAACUGGAACUGGGACACGGUCCAGACUCCUACGGGAGGAAGCAGUGGGGAAUAUUGCGCAAUGGGCGCAAGCCUGAUGGAGCCAUGCCGCGUGUAUGAAGAAGGCCUUAGGGUUGUAAAGUACUUUCAGCGGGGAGGGGUUACCGGCAGAAGAAGCACCGGCUAACUCCGUGCCAGCAGCCGCGGUAAUAC